GCAACAGACAGGAAACAAAUUUUGCGCUGAUUUCGACAGCAGGUUGCUGCUGCUGCGUGCUGCAGCAGCUGCUGCGGAACAACCCUAGGCAUUGUGUUGUAUUGCUUUUUGAUCCUUCGAUGUCGGCUCUUCCUAUCAUUGAGACGCAGAAGUCUCAAAGUGUCGGAUUGUNCCCGCCAAUAGGGAACGUGAGCUGGGUUUAGACCGUCGUGAGACAGGUUAGUUUUAUCCUACUGAUAAAUUUGAUACUGCGACAGUAAUCCAACUUAGUACGAGAGGAACAGUUGGUUCAGAUACUUGGUUAAUGCGGCUAGCUGAAAAGCUAGUGCCGCGACGCUACCAUCUGUUGGAUUAUGACUGAACGCCUCUAAG
rnacentral:ncRNA from 1 species